ensembl:lncRNA
UCUCACUAGAAAUAUUUGGAAAUCCUGUUGCCUGAUUUUUUUCUACACCACCCAAGGAAUAAGUAAGCAACCCCCACGCUCAGGGAGGCUAUCAAAGUUGUGACCAAAGAGGAUGAAGGCACCAGUGAGGCAAAAUGAAGAAGGGCUCAUCACUCAUGGACAACAGCUACAAGAAUUCGGCAUGGAGGAGGUUCCUAUGAGCUCUACAGUGUUCAUUUAGGUGCUAACUCCUUUCUUCUUCAGCCAUACCAAUAAUCAAAGACAGAAAGACUAAAAACCAUCACCAGAAGAGUGAAGUCUCUGUUGAACAAACAACCUCUUCUAACUGAAUCUUGGCCUGGUCUGAAAACACCAUGAAGCCCCUGAUACUGGGAGCAUUUGUUCACAACUGAACAAACAGGUCACUUGUUAGAAAGAAAGUCCGGAGCUGAACUUCUCAGUGGCCUCCCUUGGUCAAGCACCACCCAUCAGUUCACAGGGAUCCCUCUCUGGACCUGUGGAUACUUAGAAAAGACUCAGAAGAUAUAAGCGGGUGGAGAAUCAAGCCUCUAGACAAGUGGCUUGUGAUAUCCACACUGGAGCUAAACAGCCUCAGAGGACGAUAUUGAAAAUCUUGUUUGAGAAGCAAGUGAUGGGAAAAGAUGAAGAAUAAAAAGCCAUCAGACAAGAGAAGAGUGUUCUUGUUCCAGGACAGAAUCAAAACUCUGCCCUGGGAGUUACAUAGGCAUUGUUUCAGAAGUUAACACAUCAGUGUUUAUGGAUGAAAACAACUGAGAUACAACGUGAGUCAAGCAUGCCUGAGCUUGCUAAUCAAAUAAGGACACUGCAAUUAUAUGACAUCAGUAAGAAAGUGGUGAACAUAUGCCAUAUCAAGUGUAUGGCAAGGUAGAAGGAAUGCUGCAAAGUGCAGAGCUGACAUGGAGGUUCCCAGAGUGCCGGAAAAUCUCAAUCUCCCUGCUGUCAAUGUGGUGGGACCUGAUGGGGAGAUGAAGAGCUAUCAAAAGUUGUUCCCACAGAGAAGUGACUCCAAAGCUGCCCAUAAACAGAAAUGCUGUCCUUGUGGGACGGCAGCAACACGUAUCUAUCAGAGACUACGUUUUUGCCUGUCCUCAUUAUUCUGAGGAUUACACAAGAAAUAUGCCCCACCAUUAUGUCCAAGCAGAAACGUUAUGCUCAGCAGGUAGCUCAUGUACUGUAAAGCCCUUUCCCCAGCUCCAUUAAGAGGUCUUGUUUAUGUCUGGCCUCGUGCAAGACAAAAGUAUUGCUGUGCUUUCUGGCCAUAUUUUUGCAGUGGAGGACUUGACAAGUGUCAAAUUGGAA